UUCCAACCCGGGAAUGGUGUUCUUUUUGCUCAUUCUACAUUACUUCAAAGAUGAUAACAAAUUACUUCGCCUUUUGUAAUAUCUUUACAGCUAUAGAUCCAAUCGAUACAUUUAAGUAGUAGCUUUAAUUUUGUUUACAUUCAAAACAGAUCCAGCGAAUGAAGUUGAAGGAGAGAUGAUAGUUGAAGAGGAAUUCGAAGACACGAUCUCCCAACUUGACACUCCCAAUCGAACGCCACCUCCUCAGCGUGUAAACAACGAUGGUCCAGUGUAUCUUAGCAGUGAUGAUGAAAUGAUGGAACCUCAAUCCUCAUCAACACCUAGAAAUGCCAUAUCCACUG